rnacentral:rRNA from 1 species
GGGCGANAGCCUGAUCCAGCAAUGCCGCGUGUGUGAAGAAGGCCUUCGGGUUGUAAAGCACUUUUGUCCGGAAAGAAAUGGCUCUGGUUAAUACCUGGGGUCGAUGACGGUACCGGAAGAAUAAGGACCGGCUAACUACGUGCCAGCAGCCGCGGUAAUANUNCU